GGCCAGACUCCUACGGGAGGCAGCAGUGGGGAAUAUUGCACAAUGGGGGGAACCCUGAUGCAGCGACGCCGCGUGAGUGAAGAAGUAUUUCGGUAUGUAAAGCUCUAUCAGCAGGGAAGAAAAUGACGGUACCUGACUAGGAAGCCCCGGCUAACUACGUGCCAGCAGCCGCGGUAAUACGUAGGGGGCAAGCGUUAUCCGGAUUUACUGGGUGUAAAGGGGGCGCAGACGGCGAUGCAAGCCAGGAGUGAAAGCCCGGGGCCCAACCCCGGGACUGCUCUUGGAACUGCGUGGCUGGAGUGCAGGAGGGGCAGGCGGAAUUCCUGGUGUAGCGGUGAAAUGCGUAGAUAUAAGGAAGAACACCAGUGGCGAAGGCGGAUGACUGGACGGCAACUGACGGUGAGGCGCGAAAGCGUGGGGAGCAAACAGGAUUAGAUACCCCAGUA
rnacentral:rRNA from 1 species